rnacentral:lncRNA from 1 species
ACGUCUCCGAAUGUCAUUGAGGCUGUGACCAAGAUUAUUUCCAUCAGUGACAACGCAGAAGUGCUAAAGGUCGCUGAGACUGAUUGCAUCGGACACACCAUGAAGAAUGGCAAGCAAGGCACAAUUCUCCUGGGAAAAGGAAACAAUAUCACCACUAUAGACAAGAACAAGGAAGGCAAGCUUGCUGUGAUUGCUGGCCACUGAGAGAGAAGGGAUGUACUUAACCACAGAUGAAUUCCAUAGUCCUGUAGUCAUAGCAUGGACAGCCGAGAGAGGAAAAGGAAAGGAGGAAAGAGAGAGACAGCGAAUGCCAAAGUCAGGAAGACGUAAAAGACUUCUUUUGGGAAAACACGUGUCUUCGUUUGUGUGUGUGUGUAUGCUGCCGGCAGAUACCUCUAUGGAAUUUCAUUUAGAUGCUAGGAUAGUGACUAUAUUAUUUGUCAAGAUCAGUUUUUAUUCUGUAUUUAAAAAGAUGAUGAUCACGAUGAUAUAUCACUCUCACUCACUUAGAUUUACUUAAGCUUAAUGUACUACACUUUUCAUUUUUCAUAUUUAUUUACUAGUCAUGAAUGAUUUUGCUAAGUCCAAACCUUCCUUCCCCCCUUCCCCCCCUUCCCCCUGUGAUAAAUGUGUAAAGGACAUUAUUAUCUGCACUUGUGUUUGGAUGUGAUGACACUCGUGGUGUUGUUGGACAGGGUGAAAGAAGGCUCAAGCCCCCUGCUGUCAUUUGCAGUAC